rnacentral:rRNA from 1 species
AAUCAACGCUGGCGGCGUGCCUAACACAUGCAAGUCGAACGCGAAGACCCCGCAAGGGGUUGGUAGCGUGGCAAACGGGUGAGUAACGCGUGGGCGACCUACCUCAGAGUGGGGGAUAACCUUCCGAAAGGGAGGCUAAUACCGCAUGACAUGCCCUGUUUAGAUACAGGGACAUCAAAGCCGGGGAUCGUAAGACCUGGCGCUUGGAGAGGGGCCCGCGUCCGAUUAGCUAGUUGGGGGGUAACGGCUCACCAAGGCUCCGAUCGGUAUCCGGCCUGAGAGGGGCGGACGGACACACUGGAACUGAGACACGGUCCAGACUCCUACGGGAGGCAGCAGUGGGGAAUUGUUCGCAAUGGGCGCAAGCCUGACGACGCAACGCCGCGUGGAGGAUGAAGACUUU